rnacentral:rRNA from 1 species
GACAGAGGGGGCAAGCGUUGCUCGGAAUUACUGGGCGUAAAGGGCGCGUAGGCGGGAUGGCAAGUCGGUCGUGAAAUCCCUCGGCUCAACCGAGGAACGUCGAUCGAUACUGCUGUUCUUGAGGAUUGCAGAGGAGACUGGAAUUCCCGGUGUAGCGGUGAAAUGUGUAGAGAUCGGGAGGAACACCGGUGGCGAAGGCGGGUCUCUGGGCAAUUACUGACGCUGAGGCGCGAAAGCGUGGGGAGCAAACGGG